rnacentral:rRNA from 1 species
GAAGAGAGAAUGCCGGAAUGAGUAGCGAGAUAGAGGUGGGAAUCCUCUAGGCCGAAUAUCCAAGGUUUCCAGGGUAAAGCUGAUCUGCCCUGGGUGAGUCGGGACCUAAGGUGAGGGCGGGAGCCGUAGCCGAUGGACAACAGGUUGAUAUUCCUGUACUGCAGUAUAACAGAACUGUGGGGACACGUAAGGAGAGCGGGAGCCGGGAAUGGAAAGUCCGGUACAAGCGAGGUACCAGUAUGGUAGGAAAAUCCGCCAUGCAAUGGGAAGACGUGAUGUGGAGCGAAAUUUAGUAGCGAAGCCCGUGAGCCAUGCGUCAAGAAAAGCCGCUAUUGUUUAUACUGUACCCGUACCGUAAACCGACACAGGUGGAUGAGGAGAGAAUCCUAAGGCCGGCGGAAGAAGUAUUGCCAAGGAACUCGGCAAAAUGGCCCCGUAACUUAGGGAGAAGGGGUGCCUGCGAGAGCAGGCCGCAGAGAAUAGGCUCAAGCAACUGUUUAGCAAAAACACAGGUCUAUGCGAAACCGAAAGGUGAGGUAUAUGGGCUGACGCCUGCCCGGUGCUGGAAGGUUAAGAGGAGAGGUUAGACGUAAGUCGAAGCUUUGAAUUUAAGCCCCAGUAAACGGCGGCCGUAACUAUAACGGUCCUAAGGUAGCGAAAUUCCUUGUCGGGUAAGUUCCGACCCGCACGAAAGGCGUAAUGAUUUGAGCGCUGUCUCGGCAAUACAUCCGGUGAAAUUGAAGUGCCAGUGAAGAUGCUGGCUACCCGCGCCAGGACGGAAAGACCCCAUGGAGCUUUACUCCAGUUUGGCACUGGGGUCCGGUGUUGCAUGUACAGGAUAGGUGGGAGGCUGAGAAACGGUAACGUCAGUUGCCGCGGAGCCGCUGUUGGGAUACCACCCUUGUGAUAUUGGGCUUCUAACCAGCCGCCGUGAUCCGGCGGUGGGACAAUGCCAGGCGGGGAGUUUGACUGGGGCGGUCGCCUCCGAAAGGGUAUCGGAGGCGCCCAAAGGUUCCCUCAGAAUGGACGGAAACCAUUCGAAGAGUGCAAAGGCAGAAGGGAGCUUGACUGCGACACCGACGGGUGGAGCAGGUACGAAAGUAGGGCUUAGUGAUCCGGUGGUAUUAAGUGGGAAUGCCAUCGCUCAACGGAUAAAAGCUACCCUGGGGAUAACAGGCUUAUCACUCCCAAGAGUUCACAUCGACGGAGUGGUUUGGCACCUCGAUGUCGGCUCAUCGCAUCCUGGGGCUGUAGUAGGUCCCAAGGGUUGGGCUGUUCGCCCAUUAAAGCGGUACGCGAGCUGGGUUCAGAACGUCGUGAGACAGUUCGGUCCCUAUCCGGCGUGGGCGUAGGAUAUCUGAGAGGAGCUGUCCUUAGUACGAGAGGACCGGGAUGGACGGACCGCUGGUGGACCGGUUGGCUUGCCAAAGCCAUGGCCGGGUAGCCAAGUCCGGAAGGGAUAAACGCUGAAGGCAUCUAAGCGUGAAGCCCCCCUCAAGAUGAGAUAUCCCAUUCUUAUGAAGUAAACCCCCUUGAAGACGACGAGGUAGAUAGGGCAGAGGUGGAAGUGUGGUAACACAUGGAGCUGACUGUUACUAAUCGGGUGAGGGCUUGACCAA